rnacentral:rRNA from 1 species
AUUGAACGCUGGCGGCAUGCCUUACACAUGCAAGUCGAACGGCAGCAUGGAGAGCUUGCUCUCUGAUGGCGAGUGGCGAACGGGUGAGUAAUGCAUCGGAACGUACCGUGUAAUGGGGGAUAACGUAGCGAAAGUUACGCUAAUACCGCAUACGACCUGAGGGUGAAAGCAGGGGAUCGCAAGACCUUGCGUUAUACGAGCGGCCGAUGUCAGAUUAGCUAGUUGGUGUGGUAAAGGCUCACCAAGGCGACGAUCUGUAGCGGGUCUGAGAGGAUGAUCCGCCACACUGGGACUGAGACCCGGCCCAGACUCCUACUGGAGGCAGCAGUGGGGAAUUUUGGACAAUGGGGGCAACCCUGAUCCAGCCAUGCCGCGUGAGUGAAGAAGGCCUUCGGGUUGUAAAGCUCUUUCGGCCGGGAAGAAAUCGCACAGGCUAAUACUCUGUGUGGAUGACGGUACCGGCAUAAGAAGCACCGGCUAACUACGUGCCAGCCGCCGCCGUAA